AUUGAACGCUGGCGGCAUGCCUUACACAUGCAAGUCGAACGGCAGCACGGGUGCUUGCACCUGGUGGCGAGUGGCGAACGGGUGAGUAAUACAUCGGAACAUGUCCUGUAGUGGGGGAUAGCCCGGCGAAAGCCGGAUUAAUACCGCAUACGAUCUACGGAUGAAAGCGGGGGACCUUCGGGCCUCGCGCUAUAGGGUUGGCCGAUGGCUGAUUAGCUAGUUGGUGGGGUAAAGGCCUACCAAGGCGACGAUCAGUAGCUGGUCUGAGAGGACGACCAGCCACACUGGGACUGAGACACGGCCCAGACUCCUACGGGAGGCAGCAGUGGGGAAUUUUGGACAAUGGGCGAAAGCCUGAGCCAGCAAUGCCGCGUGUGUGAAGAAGGCGUUCGGGUUGUAAAGCACUUUUGUCCGGAAAGAAAUCCUUGGCCCUAAUACGGUCGGGGGAUGACGGUACCGGAAGAAUAAGCACCGGCUAACUACGUG
rnacentral:rRNA from 1 species